rnacentral:rRNA from 1 species
UGCAAGUCGAGCGGUAGAGAGAAGCUUGCUUCUCUUGAGAGCGGCGGACGGGUGAGUAAUGCCUAGGAAUCUGCCUGGUAGUGGGGGAUAACGUUCGGAAACGGACGCUAAUACCGCAUACGUCCUACGGGAGAAAGCAGGGGACCUUCGGGCCUUGCGCUAUCAGAUGAGCCUAGGUCGGAUUAGCUAGUUGGUGAGGUAAUGGCUCACCAAGGCGACGAUCCGUAACUGGUCUGAGAGGAUGAUCAGUCACACUGGAACUGAGACACGGUCCAGACUCCUACGGGAGGCAGCAGUGGGGAAUAUUGGACAAUGGGCGAAAGCCUGAUCCAGCCAUGCCGCGUGUGUGAAGAAGGUCUUCGGAUUGUAAAGCACUUUAAGUUGGGAGGAAGGGCCAUUACCUAAUACGUGAUGGUUUUGACGUUACCGACAGAAUAAGCACCGGCUAACUCUGUGCCAGCAGCCGCGGUAAUACAGAGGGUGCAAGCGUUAAUCGGAAUUACUGGGCGUAAAGCGCGCGUAGGUGGUUUGUUAAGUUGGAUGUGAAAUCCCCGGGCUCAACCUGGGAACUGCAUUCA